UUUCGGUUUUAUAAAUGUAUUGCCACCGGGACAACUGCUAAACUGCUUGCUGUACUGUGUGAUUGCAUACAUGGAUUGGAUUGUGGGUUUACUAACGUGUUAGUUCUAGUUUGUUGACAACGUUAAUAUGUUGAUAAUGAUGUAGGCUGUGUAGCGGUUAUGGUAUGAAGGUUAGGCUUGGAGAGUUUUUUGAGCAUGGUCACAAACCGCUCGUGUUGUGCACUGAAGUCCACAAGCGAAGGGAAAAGCUAAAAGGCGGAGAGUGCGUAGAUGCAAGAAGGAAUUUAUACAACAAGCAAAGUGAUUAAGCUGUAUAUGGCUGCUAUGAAAGUGAACUGUGUGUGCGGGGAUCAGGGGUAUAUUCAUUCCGCUGAUUCUAUUGCCAAACUUUUCUUAAAUGGAAGCAAACGGAAUGAAAUUAUUGCAGUCCAGAUAAGCUAGAUGCAGGUAAGAGUGUGCAAGGUGGUAUUGAAUGUAUCACUGUCUGUCACCUUUAUUCCUCCAAUUUGUCUCUUGACCUGUACACCUACGUUAUAAACUUUAAUUUGUAGGAUAGGUUGUAGCAACCUCGUGAUGAUGGUACAUUGAACUGGGUGAAUGGAAUAUGAAUGACAGUCAUCCAAUAUUUGCUGUAGGCCUAAUAGAAAUAAGGCCAUGCUCAUAAAUGUUUCUCACCUGCCUCCACUGGUCAAAACCACUGUUAGUUUGUAACAUGCCAUCUCUAUUCUCCAACCAACCAUAUUGACUAAUUCCUUGAUCCCUGACAAAAGAAAUUGGGCUCUAUUCUUUAAAAUUUUUUAAAUGUAAUAUUAAACUUUUCCCCCAUUUUACUAGAGGAAGCCAGCCUGAGGGAAAGUCAGUCUUGCUGUAUUAGCUAGCUAGCAUGUUCCAACCUUCUCAACAUGUUCAUGUGCCAAGUCGCAUGUCCCUGACUAACCUAGUCACGAAAUGUGGCGAUGUCUUCACAUUAUGUAGACAAGGCUCUGCACAUUUACAUAUAAACAUUCUAAAUGUCCCUUGUUUGUCACGAAUAUUGAAUACAAUACUAUUUAAACUUACUCUGCCGAUUGUCCGUGGUGCUGGUCCCUCAGUUGGUCAAUUUUUGACAAACUAUCCACAGGAAAGUAACAUUAUUAUUAAACCGACUUCAAAACACAGGUCUAUGUGUGUGGCAAUCAAGAUAAGUGAUGUUCAAUUUGUGAACAAUUAAUUAUUUUACAACUCUUUUUACUGACUUGAUUCAUUUUUCUGAGUGACUUCACAAUUGCUGGCCGCAAUUGUUUUUCUUUUGUUCAUCACCGAAGGUACGUGUACAAGACAGACACACGUGAACCAUGUAUACUGCAGGUGUUUAUAUGGUUUUACAUGUGUGCCAGAUGAUAGAAAUGUUAACUUCAGUACCGAUGCUUUAAAAGGUUGGUUAAACAAUACUUUCCUGUGGAUAUUGUAUCUCAAAUUUCAAGCAACUGAAGGACCAACAGUGCAGAGUAAGUUAAAAUAAUUGUAUUCAACAUUCUGGCUUGUAGAAAAUCUGAGAGGAACAAACACUAUCAUGUUCCAGAUGGUGUAUUUAGAUAUUCACCACCUGGACCCCAGGAAACGAAUAACCUAGCUAUUACUCCUCGUGACAUGAAUUAAUGUUUGGUCCAACCAGCUGACUUUGGAGUCAAACUCAAACUAACAACUUAUUUUAAACCAAAUAUACUCUAUUUGACUGGGUAUGUCUUUUUGUCUUCAGGAGAUUAAGGCAGUGGGGACAGAACUGGGCAUUACUCCUGUCAUAAUUCGUGGAGAGAAACUGAAACAGAAAGGAUUUGGAGAGAUCUAUGGAGUGGGCAAGGCAGUGGUGAACCCUCCUGCCCUCGCAGUCCUGAGUCACAAACCAGAUGGUGCCACCCAGACUAUUGCAUGGGUGGGCAAGGGUAUCGUGUAUGACACUGGAGGUCUCCGCAUCAAGGGAAAGGUAUAAAGACCAACAUGCCUGGGAUGAAAGAGACUGUUGUGAGGCAGCAGCCAUUUUAGGAGCUUUCAAAGCUACUGUCAAUCAGGGCUUCAAGGACAAUCUCCAUGCCGUAUUCUGCCUGGUGGAGAAUGCAGUGGGACCCACUGUCACACGGCCAGAUGACAUCCACACGCUCUACUCUGGAAAGAGUAGCCAUUGGGGGAGCAUGGAAACCAGUUAGGCAAGAGGACAGUGGAGAUCAACAACACUGAUGCUGAAGGCAGGCUAGUGCUCUUUGAUGGUGUGGUGUAUGCCAGCAAGGACCUCUUUGCUGACAUCAUCCUGGAUAUGGCCACUCUGACAGGGGCACAGGUGUGUGACGGGUGGCCUCUAGAGCCACAACAGUGCAGCUUUGGCAACAACACUCGCCUACAUUACUUUGAUGCCCCACACUUCUUUAAUCACUUAUUGUCAUUUUGCAGCAAGAGGGAUAUCAUUUUGCAAUUAUAUAAUAGAUUUAGGCCUCUAAUAUUUGAUGUAUUUGUAUUUCUAUAAGACUUAGUCCAAAAAAUGUUCGGAAGUGAUGGUUUGGUAAUAAAUGUUAGCCCAAGAAAGUCAAGUCAUCACAUGUACAUUGUUGAAACACUCAUAAAAGCCAGUUGGGACUGUUUUACAUUCACUGCACUUCAAUCAUAGCAAAGGUUAACAGGGCUUGUGACAGACAUAAUAAAGUAAUGAAAACGUUUUACUUUCCAUUGAUCUUUGCACUCACUGACAUUUAUCUUUAGCCCAAGACAAACUCCCCAAAUUCUCUGAGGAACUCAAAACAACUUAUCAAGGGUGUCUCACACAAGUGGAUGGUGUUAAUCACACAAAAUUGUUAGGCCUACAAAAAGAGAUUUUCCUUAGAACAGUAAUUUUCUAACUCAAAACACACCUCGUGCUGGUGAUGACGACACCACAUCCUGUGGUAACCCUCAUGAUGU